UACGAAGGGGGGCUAGCGUUGUUCGGAAUCACUGGGCGUAAAGCGCACGUAGGCGGAUCUUUAAGUCAGGGGUGAAAUCCCGAGGCUCAACCUCGGAACUGCCUUUGAUACUGGGGAUCUCGAGUCCGGGAGAGGUGAGUGGAACUGCGAGUGUAGAGGUGAAAUUCGUAGAUAUUCGGAGGAACACCAGUGGCGAAGGCGGCUCACUGGUCCAUAACUGACGCUGAGGUGCGAAAGCGUGGGGAGCAAACAGG
rnacentral:rRNA from 1 species